GUUACAGAAUAUCCUUUUUUGGCUUUCCUCAAAGUGCUUACAUUUAUGACAAACAGAUUGUAAGUCAUAAUUACCUAUAUAAGGAAUGAUUGUAAAAUAAGUGUUGAUUGGAAAGCACUUGGAAUAAGUGUAUGAGGUGCUAUAUAAAUGCUAAAUGUCAUUCAUUUAGAAAUUGUAUGCCUUUGAUCUGUUGAAUUUAAGUUCCGUAAUUUAAUUGUAUAAUUUCCUUAUCAUCCCUGUUUUGUUUUGUUUUUUCUUAAAGGGUGGCCCACUUUAAAAGAGCACAAUGUAUGUAAAAUUGGGGGUAAUUUUUUUAAUGAGUCUCCUUAUAAUAACUUCUUUUUGAAAGAAGCUGUUCAUUACUCAUGAAUUGAUCAUAUUUGUUGCCUGGAUUUGGUUAUGUUAAGUACCUCUGUGCCCAGGUAACAUAGAGAUAGAAACAUUACUUCAGUAGACAUUUAUUAAGUACUUAUGUGCAACAAUUUAUGCUUAGUUUGAGUUUGAAUUUAACAUGAAACACUACAUUUGAGCUUCUAAACACAACUCCAUACAUGAACUAAUUAAUAAAGUUUGAAAAAUUAUUUUAUAAUUUUAUUAUCAAGAUUGAAGUUUAAUUCAGACUUUCAAAAACCAUAUAUUUAAAAUUUUUUAUUUCAGUAGUUUACUCUUUGGUAUAUAGCACCCAUGCAAAUAUUAAACAGUAGUAAAAAAAAAAAAACUUUUUAAACUCCCAAGGAAAGAAAGAAUAAUGUAUUGGAAUGUAUUUUAAAAUGAUUCAAAAGAAGCCCUAAUUUUGUUAUUUGCAUUGUAAUAUUUCCUUUACAAGGUUAAAAGCAAAGAAAGUUGCAUUCGAUAGUAUGCAAAUUGUUGACAUUAUCGUAACACCUUUUCUGUCAACUGUCAGCUGAGAAUCUAUAUUUUCGGUUAGAUCAUACAUCAGCAAGAAAACAGAGGUGAUAAGAGGAGGGGAGAUAUGCACUGAGGAAUUCUUGGAGAUCCAUAGAUUCAGGAUACUAAAAUUAUAAAAUGCAUAAUAUUUUAAUGGGAAUAGAAUUUGACAGGGUUUUUUUAUUUUUUUUUUUUGUUUUGUUUUGUUUUGUUUUGUUUGUUGCAACUUACUCUUGUAUCUUAACACAGAAUUGGAAACUGAAACUACUUUUAAAGGUAGGCCUUGGCAAGUCUAGUUAAUAUAAGUGAAAGGGAAGGAGGAUCUUGUGAGUUAGUUAAUAAAAUAAGGUUAGAUUUUAAUUGUAGUUUGCUAUUGUCUUUCUGUAACCACUGUCAGCCCUAGGGACAGAUUUCUAAGUUGGCCUGGGAAGAUGUCAAACUUAAAGCAGGAAGGUUUAUUUCUGGUGUUUCUUUGGCAUCUUUUUGCAUGCUAUUAUCUUUGUGUUUAUAUUUGUAAUGCUGGCCUUCUUUUGAAUUCUUGUUUCCAUUUAGUAUCUAUAUACUAUGUCUUGAUACAUAGAAGGAAUUGUAAAAAUUCUAUUUUUUCAUAAUGUUUAUAAGAACCAGGAUCUAAAUAUGCUAAGUAUGUGAUUGAGGGCCAAGAGUAACAUUUUUGACUUUUCAUUCUCUCGGCUAUCUUAUUCCUAAUCACAAGGCUGUUGAGAGUCUUUAUAUAUCUCCUCUUCUAUAAAAUAAUGGCUCAGGAUCAUGAGAUUAGAAGUUAGUAACUAUACAUUUAUAAAUGCUAUUAUUAUAUGUGACUUUUUUCCUUCUUUCAUAAAUUUCUGAUGGGUAUUGUCUACUUGCGUUUAUAAUCUAUUUCUGUGGAACUAAUAAUGGUAUGAAUAAAAAUACAGUAUUAUUCUAUUUAGUUAUGGUGAGCUAUUAGUAUAAGCAAGUGGAAUUUAUAAGCACAGGUGUCCAUUUUUACAUAAAGGAUUAUUUUUCUGAGCAGAGGAAUAGGAUGAAAAAUAACAAAAGGUAAGAGUAGAAUUUGAAUGGCAUUGAAGUAUCGCUAUGUAAACUAUCCUCUAGAGAAUUUUAUCGUGGCAAUCCAGUUAUCCAAGGUUCCAGAUUUAAAAAAAAAAAAACUACAAACAUCUGCAACUCAGUACUAUUUGCUCACACUCUCCACUUCAGAAAUAGAUUAUUUCUUAUCUCCCAAGGGCCUAGGAUAUUAUUUGAUAUCCUUUUAAAAUUAAGUUUUAUUUCAUUUGAGAGUAGGACAUGUUCUAUUGAUGAAUUACUUCAUUGAUUUUUUUUUAAAGUAGCUUUUUGUUUAAAUCCCAGUAAAAUUAGAUGUCAUCUUGAAAAUCUAUUGAAUGUAUAGAAAAUACUUAUAUAUUUAACCCUUCUAAGAUAACAGUUCAUUAAUCAGGGGAAAGAAAAACUGAAUCUGAAGUCAGGAGUCCUGGAUUCAGAUCCUCCCUCCGUAGUUGCGUGGUCUUGGAUCUAUGUAAUCCAUACAUAUCUUUCCAUAAUAUCCUAGACCUUAGUUUUUCAUCCCUUUCUAAGGUCUUCCAGUUCUAAAUCUGUGAUCCUCUUGUUUAGAAUCUCAAGAAUGUGAAACCUACGUUGAAACAGAAAUCUAAAUUUUACAAAUAUAUAAAUCCUAGGCCUCAGAAACAGAAAAAGUCUUUUCCUCUCUCACAUAUUCAGUUGCUAUGUUUGAAACUUAUCUGAAACUGUUCAAACUAGUCAAAAAGGAAAUGAACAAACUAGUUUUGCAGCUAUAUAGAGAAUUUAUUUGUUAUAAAACUGUGUGGAAAAGGUACCACAUUUUCAUAUUCCUGCAUUAUAAGGUUAUGUUUCUUUAGAGCAAGUAUGCUUGUUAAAAAUUUAAACAGCUUCACAUAAAUUUAAGAGAGACUUUUAAACUAAAGGGAAAAUAAGAAAGCAAAACUUUUAGCAUACCUUUUUGGUGUUCUUUCUGUGUUUUUCUUCAUGAAAACAUUAGCAAGCUGACUUAAAAUUGAGAAAAGAAAUAGAAUUUACCUUAAGAGAGUACAGAGUUUCUGGACUAUCCAUUAAAUCAAAAUAAUAUGAUUUCCUGCUGAGUCAUCAGCUUGCCAAAAUGGCAGCUUAAUUCAUGUUGGUUCUUCCUUUUAUUGUAUAAUAAAAUUGGGUUUUGUGUCAUUCUUUAUAUGUAUAUUUGACUAAACUAUUUUGCAUCAUAUAGUUUGGAAGGAAAAAUAUUCUAAAUAUGACUAAUUUUUUAUUUCUUUAAAGCAUCAUUCCUUUUGUUGGAAAUUUUCAUCCAAUUUCAAGGGUGAACUAUUCCAUUUAGGCAAAAAAAAUCCUUAGUCUUUUCUAUUUUGUAAUAAAUUGUUCUUUGAACUCACCCACAGAAAAGAUAAAGUUAAAUGUGAUGGUUAGGCAAAAUAAAAGUGACCUUUUUGAGAGUAAAUUGUAAUAUGGCACAAGUAGUAAUGGCUUCAUGUUUUUUUUUAAUGUCUGCAUAUGUCCAGGGGAAUUAUGUAAUCAUUAUUGAUAACCUUUUCCCACUCCUAAAAUUAUUUAUUCAUCAAGUGUUCAUGCACUGUUACCUUUGUGGAUAUGAAUACUUACAAAAUGUUGCAUGACACUUUUGAAAUAACGAACUACUUGGUUUUCUUGUGUUACAAGAAGAUAAAUUAAAAAUAUCACUGAUUCACUUCUUUAGGAAGUGAAAGCCAAGCUGGUCUUGGCAAUUGUAUGAAUUUUGGAAAUGCUGAGAUCCAGAAAUCUCAUGUAACACCACUAGUCAGGUGUAAUUUGAGGCUACUUUUCUAUAUCUAUAACUAGGAGAAUGUGAUAUCGGGGAUAAAAUGAAGGAGAAAGGAACUCAUUUGGAUAAGAAAUAGAUAAUGUCCAAUAACAGGGGAAAAUAAGAUUUAACACAUUAUAUACUUAUAUACAUUCCCAAAGGUAAUAUUUCUGUAAAAAAAAGUUGUGCUUCUGUUGCAGAUGUGAAUUAGUUCUGUUAAUAUUUUCAUACACUUCCUUUCAUUUAUUACUUAGAGAAACAAAUAACCUUUUUAAUAACUCUUUGGACAGAAGCACUGUUUAUAAAAUUUUUAAUUGUUUACUUCUAUAUACAUUAAUCAUGUUUUUUGGUGAGCAAUUCAAAUGCUUUUCUAAAGUUAUUUCCAAGAUUCUCCUUAGUUUAUCACAGUCCAUGAUAUGGUGAGAAUGAUUUGAUGAUUGGAAAGCAUGGCCAAAUUGGUUCUCCAAAUUUCCUUAAAGCAACUACCUUUUUUGUUCCUGCUACUUUUUUCUUCCAAUUUUCUUUUCUUUUCUUUUUUUUUUUUUUUCUUCCAAUUUUCAAAAGGGCUUCUCAAGAACUAUAGGUUUCCACAGAGUAACAACUUAAGAAGCACCUUAAAAAUCAAUGUGGUCAUUUAAUUUGUCUGUGCUGUCUUUUCCAGGCCCUACCCCAAGACUACACUAGACACUAGAGUGUAGGCACUAGGUGUUAAAGAGUUCUGAGGAUUAAAAUGAAUGAACUUACUAUGAUUGGAAAACCUCUAGCCUAUAUGCCUAUUUAGAAGAUUAAGAAUAGUUAAUAGUGCCAUCAUGAGAAGAAAGUUGUCUAUCAGAGCAAGGAAAACAUGGAGAACUAGGCAAAAGGAUAGGCAAAGAUAUAGAUAUGUAAACACACAUAUCUAUUUCUAUGGAUGAGUAAUGGCCUUUCUGAGCUCUAAAAACUGGUGAUGAUGGUUGAUGUCUUAAGAUUAGGAAGAGGUGCCAAUAUAAAAAUAGAAAGGGGGCAUUGGGAGAAAUAUUCUUUAUAGUAUAUUUGUUAUAUGCUGUGACACACUUUAUAUAUACUCUCAACAUAAGUUGUAUAGGCAUUCAUAAUAAUACAAGUGAGGGAGUCUUUAAUGUUUUACCUGUUAAUCAUUUAUAUAUUAUUUAUACUUCAACACUCAGUGCACUUUACAAAUACAUCAUUAAUUCUCCCUAUAUUUCUCCACAUGUAUUUCUGUCUUUUCCACGAGAAUAAUCUAGAGGAUGGCCCAAAUAAAUGAACAUUUUAUGUAUUGCUAAAUGGAUGAAAUUCUAAGCCUAGAACCAAACUAUCUUCCUUUUCAGCAAUUAAUUGACAUUUAAUAGAGCACAUCAAUUUAGCAGAAAGUAUUAAGUCCUUUUUAAACUAUAGGCCUAGUAGUCAUAUGUUUUUCUGAUGCUAUAGUUAUAUAGCACUUAUUUGCCAGCUUUGAAUUGUUAGAUCAUCAAGCCUUGCAUUUUCAGAUCUACAUCAAGUUAACUUUAAAAGGAAUCCUUCCUGAAUCUUGCAUAAUAAAACCAAAUCAUUGAUCACACCUUAAAAUUAUCUUUUCUGCCCCCUGGAAUUUAAGCUAUACUCCUUUAAACUUCAACCUUCUCCUGCCACCUCCCAUCCCCCAAAAAGAAACUUAAUUUGUAAGAGUCUCUUUUCUUCUAAAUUGUUAACAAGGAAAAGUACUUACUAAGCGCCAAACUCACUCCCCCUUGAAUUGAUGAUUUUAGAACUUGCUUUGUAGACAUUUAACAUAGGGAGGUUUUUAAAACUUUUUUAUAUGUCUUUCUCACAAAAUGAAAGAUCUCGCUUUGUUUGGAAUAGAAUUCUGUCAUCGCAAAUAUAAGAAGGGAAACAAAGUUUGAGGAGCUAUGGUCUCCUUAAAGUGUUUUAAUGUUUUUGUUGGUAAACUUGGGCUACUAUGUUAAUGUUUUCCUUGCCAAAGUUUUCAACUCAGUCUAUUAUAGGAGUUUUGUGUCAACUGCCACCGCUACCCCCUCCUUCCUCUUCCAAGCACAUCUCCAAUUUUAUAUUAGGAAUCAAUGAGAAGGUAAAAGUCACAUUAUAAUCAAAUCACUGGAAUGUAUAUGCUCCAUAGAGCAUUGCUUUUUCUAGUAACUGCCAAAGAGUCAGUCAGUUAAUAAAAGUAAUAGACAACAUUUUCCUGGGCUUAGUUAUCUGUUCCACUGUUUGUCUGCAGUAUUGUUUCUUCUUCUGUGGUAAUUAAAUGAGUCUGAUCUGGUAGAAGAGAGGCAGAUAGUGGGGCAAAAGAUGUCUAUUUUCUUUCAACAGCAAUGCUAUUUUAUAACUAAAAUAGGAAAUCUGUUAUUUGAAAUCUCUUCAGAAAAGAAAGUCAAACUGUUUUGGAAUCAGCAUCACUGAGCAUGAGUUUGUCUAGGAAUUGCUCAGAUAUUUCAGUAAAUGAAGAGAAACUUAAUAUGUUUUUUAAAAAAUAACAAUUGGGGCCAAAUAGCAUUUUUGGUUCAAAUCCCUUCUCUGUGUAGCUUUUAAUGUAGCAUAUUGUUGAACUAGGUAGCAUGCAGUUGUACUCCAUUUUUGGUGUUCAGAGAACUACUAGAAAAAUGUCUUAUCCCAGAAGGAUUAGUUUAGGCCAUUUAGGGUAUUUUGUACCACAGAUUAAAAGAGCUGUUUUACCUAUUAUUCCUGAAAUUCAUACCUAACCUUUUAAGUCACAAGAAGAAGCUCGCACCUUUUAAACUCAUUUUUAAUAUGGUUGGUUUUUUUAAAUUAUGUGGCCUGUACUGAAAGUUAAUGUUUUCUUAGCACUUUAUUUCUCAAUGAAGUAGAUCUUUAUCCAUUACAUAAAUAUUGUGAGCAGUUUUCAUUUUUAAUAGUGGUUAACUGUUAAUUUUGUUAUUAUUAUUUCUGGGAUAAUGGUUAUAUAACUAUAAUAUGAUUUAUUCACCAACAACUGUUAAGUACAUAAUCUCUUUUCAAGUUUGUCUUUAAAACUUCACAAAAUACUUUGUUUCUGUAGUACAUUACAGCAUAAUGAAAUUUGCCACCUUUUAUUUUUUUUUUUAACUGAUUUAGUGCUCUUUCAGUUGUCUUCAGUUUUCAAGUUGUCUAAUGCCCCUCACUCUUACUAAAAUAUAGUGAGAUUCAAGCAAACUCUUAAUGUUUUUAUUGGUAGUUUUUAUCUUUGUGGUCUAAUUUGAAUUAUUAACAUUAAGCAUAUCAUUUACUUUUAUGUAUAAAGCAAAUAACUCAGUCAUUGGGAUAAUACAUCUUAUUACACUGGGAUAAUACAAUCAUUUUUGAAAUAGCAUAAAUCCUAUUACUGAAGCACUUGUAUAUUCAUAAAGAUAUAUGCCGAUCUGUUAAGGAUGUUUGGUGAAAUGAUAUAAAUCACUAAUGAUUUUUCCAUUAAUUUAGUUACUGUUACCUCAAGCCAUCCCAUUGUCUUUCUCUUUAUCUAUUCAUUUUUAAAGAAAACAAAUUAGAAAAACAACAAAUUUUCCAUGUAAUUCAAAUCCAUAUAAAUCAAAUCAUGAAAGUCUUAGAAUUGAGCAUUGGUUAAUAGAGUAUUUAGUUUAAUGUCAUAUUUUACUGAAAAACUUUUAUUUUUGGUUAAGGAAACAUUUCAAUUUGCUUAAGAGAAAUAAAUCAGCAUAAAUUCAAAACAUUACUAUAUAUGCACAUUUUUUUUUCCUUAACAAGUUUUGUUUAAUGUUAAAAUGCACUAAAAUAUUCCAUUUUCUGUUAAGAUGUCACAUUUGCCAGUACAGAAGCACCACAGUUCUUUGUACUAUCAGGGGAGAUUCAUUUUCAAAACUGUCUUUUAUUAUUUUUAAUAUUUCAGCAUCUACCAGUUUGCAUCACUUAAGAUUUUAAUUUUGGACAUGAAAUAGUAAAAUUCAAACGUGAACUAAUAAUUUGCCUUAAUCUACUUUUGCCUUUGGGUUGGGGGGAAGAAAAAUGAAUAGUUUAAAAAAAAACCCUGAGUUUUUAAAAGGCCUUUUUUUUUUCUUUUUUGGGGGGGCCAUUUAGUGCUAAAAGCUUUUCAGAUGAUCUGAAAAAUGACAGUACAUUAGAUUUGGAAUUGUAUUUUACUUACAGUUCCAAUUCUGGUAUAGCCUUAUUUAUGUCUUAAAUAUUGUAGAAUUUUCUGUGGAUUGUUGUUUAUUUGUAAUCUGACAGUUUAUAACCACCCUGAAUUUUGCCACUUUCUAAAUGGAAGUUGCUGGAUAUAGUGUUCUAAUUUCCUGCUGGAAAUCAAACAUGAUGCUAGAAUUUCAUUCAUGAUUGAAAGUGAUGGUUGUUAUGAUACAGGGCUCUUCUUGAUGAUGGAGUUAUCUAUAUGUAAUUGAGUGUAAGCAUUUUUCCAACUUGCUGAUUUAUUGUGUGCUGAGUAUUGUUGAAUUUGCCACUUUUAUUUUCUGAGCAGGAAUUUGUUUGAAAGUCUUCAGUAAAACUUUGAUUAAUGUACCACCUCUCCCCUUCCCCCAAAACUAUCCAGAAAUCUAUCAGAAAAUGGAUUUGUAAUAUGUUGAAAUAUUGUAUUGCUUUUUGUCUUUAUUUUAGUCUUAUAACUGCCAAAUUGUUACGGUAUUAUUAAGGAUAUUGUGUGUUUAUAUAUAUGCAUAUAAACUAUAUGUAUAUGAAAACUAAAACAAGAUUUGGUCAAACUAUAUUUUCCCAUUGAAUACAUUAAUGUUUUCAAGGCUGCAAAAAGUGUACAGU
rnacentral:lncRNA from 1 species